rnacentral:rRNA from 1 species
CCUACGGGGGGCAGCAGUGGGGGAUAUUGCACAAUGGGGGGAACCCUGAUGCAGCGACGCCGCGUGGGUGAAGAAGCGCCUCGGCGCGUAAAGCCCUGUCAGCAGGGAAGAAAAUGACGGUACCUGAAGAAGAAGCCCCGGCUAACUACGUGCCAGCAGCCGCGGUAAUACGUAGGGGGCAAGCGUUAUCCGGAAUUACUGGGUGUAAAGGGAGCGUAGACGGCAAUGCAAGUCCGGAGUGGAAUGCGGCAGCUCAACUGCCGAACUGCUCUGGAAACUGUAUGGCUUGAGUGCAGGAGGGGUAAGCGGAAUUCCUGGUGUAGCGGUGAAAUGCGUAGAUAUCAGGAGGAACACCGGUGGCGAAGGCGGCUUACUGGACUGUAACUGACGUUGAGGCUCGAAAGCGUGGGGAGCAAACAGGAUUAGAUACCCGAGUAGUC